rnacentral:rRNA from 1 species
AUUGAACGCUGGCGGCAGGCCUAACACAUGCAAGUCGAGCGGAUGAAGGGAGCUUGCUCCUGGAUUCAGCGGCGGACGGGUGAGUAAUGCCUAGGAAUCUGCCUGGUAGUGGGGGAUAACGUCCGGAAACGGGCGCUAAUACCGCAUACGUCCUGAGGGAGAAAGUGGGGGAUCUUCGGACCUCACGCUAUCAGAUGAGCCUAGGUCGGAUUAGCUAGUUGGUGGGGUAAAGGCCUACCAAGGCGACGAUCCGUAACUGGUCUGAGAGGAUGAUCAGUCACACUGGAAGUGAGACACGGUCCAGACGCCUACGGGAGGCAGCAGUGGGGAAUAUUGGGCAAUGGGCGAAAGCCUGAUCCAGCCAUGCCGCGUGUGUGAAGAAGGUCUUCGGAUUGUAAAGCACUUUAAGUUGGGAGGAAGGGCAGUAAGUUAAUACCUUGCUGUUUUGACGUUACCAACAGAAUAAGCACCGGCUAACUUCGUG